CUGGGAAGGUUCUGUGGCGGGAGGCCUCUCAUGGUGGAGCCAGUGCUAGAAAAUAUUCCAAGACAAGUUGCUUUUUCUUAUACUUCUGUUUUAAAAUGAAUUAAAUGGGGAAUUUCUGGUGUACUUUAUGGUUGGGUAGUUUGAGUAGUUCUUCAAAGCAGAAAAAAAGGCUGAGAGGCGAGAAGCAUUUAGUUAUUAGGUAGAUACAAAACGUUGGGUGGUUUUUUUUGUUCGUUUAAACUCUAUUCUUUCCCUGGUAUCUCUUGUGUCUGCUGUCUGGUGAAGAGAUUUAUUUCCACUGUGACUGCCUUCUUCGCUGCCACAGUGUGUCGCUGUCCCCUUUACCCAUCUGCUGACAAUGCUUGAAGAAAUUGGAUCUGCACAGAAUUGUUUGCCUGCACUUUAUCAGCCACAUGGCACUUGCUGCUGGUCGUCGCUCCUAUCGCCAGUACUAUUCUUAGUUCCUGUCCCCUGCAGUGACCUCACCUUGCCCUUCAGGGCUCAGGGUUGCAUACCGUUAUCACAUUAAUGUGACACUUUUCCUCUAGGUGCUUGUUCCUUUUUUCAAGUGAUCCCAUGUCGGGUGAUUGCAUGACUUUUGCUCAGACUCUUGGAACGUGGGCGCAUCACAUACAAGCUGUGCUACCUGGAUACGUCCCUGCACCAGGACAGACCCACAUGUUGUGAAGUUUAAGAAUGUAAUCCAGGUCCUGUAUCUAGUUGCAGUCUAGGCCUGAUCAUCACUGUAUUUCUGUGGUCGUUGCCCUUGCUUAUCCUUUCCCUACCCCCAAAUGAGCAAUUUAUGUUUUUGCAUGUGCUCGAUACUGAGUAAACACUCUUCCUUUCUCCAGUGAUGUUGCUGGACCCUACAGUACUGUAGCACUUUGCUUGUGAGGAUAUUUCUCCUUAUAGCACUAGGCGUGAUCUCAUCUCCAUUUUAUAGGUGGAGAAACAGAGGCACAGAAAACUUAAGUGACUUGUCCAGGGUCUCCCAGCUUCCAAGCUCGUGUCCAGUGUGAUUUGUUGUCUCAUGUCUGGGUCAUCACUGUGCUCUGCGUGCCUGUACGUUCUGCGCAUCUGACUUUCUUCUCUGCAGCCUGGAAAUGCUUUCUUUGUCAUCUCCCCACCCACCGUGAAAGUCUGAUAUUAAAUCCACGUUGACCGAGUUCUCUGGGCUAGCUGGCCGCCGUCGUUGCGCCUUUGCUCUCGCAAAGCUAGCCGCCGAGGAGGCGCUCGCCGGCUCCUGGCGCAGCUGUGUGGCCAGCGGUGCAGGGUUCCUCUGGAUGCUGACGGAGCGUGUGGGGAAGCCGUGCGGUCUCUGCUUCCUUGCCUGAGCUGGGGCUGACUGUUGCUGCAAACGACCGCUGUGCAUCGUGUGGGCUGCAUCAGCGGUGCUGUGUGUUAAGCCUGGUUACGUAAGCUGUAGAUCAUUUUCUCUCUUUCCUGAUCAGCUGCUUUUCUCUGAACGCUGCUACCCUCUCUGUGCAUGCUGCGUCACAGGAAGAGUGACAGAGAGAGAGGGGUAGUGGAAAGCAAGGGACAAAGGUUAAAAUAUUGAAGCGAUCUGGGAAGUGCCACUGCUGCAAGGAGAACCGUGUGAGUGCGAGAGGCUCUUCACAGCUUUCUCCUGCUGGGUUUUAAGCUGCAGUACUGAAAAAAAUAAAAUAAAAUAGCAGCAGCUGCACUAGACAAGUCAUAAGCCUGAAAUUUGUUAAUUCCUUCACUGAGACAGCAUGGAGGAUUCUGCAGAGCAGGGUCAGGAAAUGAGAUAUCACAUGCUGCAAAGAGCUCGGGGUUCGUUCUUCCUUGCUGCCCAACUUCUACCUGAUCUUACCCUGCAAAAAGAAAAAAAUCUCUCCUGUUUCAAUGUUAAUGUGCAGCCUGUGGUUAUUAGUAAAUAAACUUGAUGUUCUUGGUAUGCUUACAGUCACAAAUUAAACGGAACUAUACUUGCUUGUAAACAAGUGUUUGUGCAUUAUUCUGGAUGAUGAACCUCUGGUUUUGAUGACAUUUUAUCUGUAGUAUAUGUGUAUAUAUUUAGUAGUGUAUAUAUAUACACUAUAUAGUGUAUAUAUAUGUAGCAGAUAGUUAUACAUAGAUAUAUCGUGUGUAUAUAUAUGUAGUAGAGAGAUAUACACAGAUAUAUGUAUCUUCAUCUCAGUAGUAGUUUCAGCUUGGCAGGAUAGUUCAUAUGCAUACAUGUUCGCAGCUUCUGACCCCAAGAUUUUAAUCUUUUUUCUAUUUUUGUUGAGACUGCUCUCAAUAAACCUGCAAUAAAUAAACCUGUCUCACU